rnacentral:lncRNA from 1 species
AUGUGAAGAACAGUGUUUCUCUCCUACAGAGGAUGCCGUGUCCAAGGCAUCAUCUAUGAAUGGAGACAGCCUUUACCAGACACCAAACCUACCAGCACCAUGGUCUUGAACUUUCCAGCCUCCUGAACUAUGGCAUACUGCUCUGUUGCCCAGGUUAGAGUGCAGUGGCUUGAUCAUAGCUCACUGCAGCCUUGAGCUCCUAGGCUCAAGCAGUCCUCUUGCCUCAGCCUCCUGAAUAGCUGGGACUACAGGUUCUAUUCUGAGGUACUAAGGUUAAGACCUCAACAUAUGAAUUCUGGAGGACACAAUUCAACCCAGAAGUCUACCUUGUAUUGGGUCCUCACGGCAAGGCUGCAAACCCUCGGAGGUUGGUAGCCCAGUCCCACCUCCCAUGAGCUAAUGAAUGUGGGGCUCAGGGAGGACUGACAGGACUAGAGUUGACAACCAUUCAUCCAACAAACAUUUACUGCAUGAGGAAGAGAGGUGAUCAAGGCACUGCCCUUGUCCCCAGGAAGCUCGCCAGUGCAUGGGACUGUGCAGGUGUCUUCACCUCUGGAUUAGGCAUUCGAUGUCAGGCCACGGCUGAGCAUCCAUCCUCUCUAUGCUAAUUUUUUCCAAAAGUCAAGAGUUUGGAAGAACACUAAUGUGUUUUUCUUCCAGCCUUUCCUACACAAAUGACAACAUCAUUACCCUCAGCUUUUAAAGUGCAAGUCUGUACAGAGAUCCCAGAGUCAAGGAGGGCGCCUGAGUCAUUUGAAAUAAUUACCUUUUUUUUUCCUGCCUGAGUCUUGCAUAUCUGUGAAUCAGCAAUGUGGAAACUGGGCUUCAAAAAAAUUAAGGGAGGCUUAAAGUGAGCAAAGCAGAGAAGAGCACUGGCAAGAGCUGAGCGCUGCCACAGCAGGAUCAUCAUGCCGAUCGUCAUCUAAGGGAGCUCAUGGUGCUGUCUGCCUCCUCUUAGCAACAUCCACACAGGCUGGUACAGUCAGAUCAUUGUGACUUGGACAGGGAUGAAAAUACUCAGCUGACACCAAUAGCUCCCAGCACAGCCAGGGUAUUCUAGAGGUGUGUGGUGUCAGGACAGCCUGUGCGGCCUCAUUUAUUUACCUGAGUCAUCUGAACAAAGCGGUGACUGGCUUUGCCUCACUCUGGCAAGAACUCGCAACAAAGCCAAAGCCUCUUCCUCCACGGCCUUUGCUCCUGCAGCACAAAACUGGCAUCUUUUUAGCAUCAUAGACACUGUCACGUGGCAAUCAAUGACAGAUUGCCCUUGUCCCAUUGAAGGGACAGGGAAGGAACUGUCCCUUCCCUGGGCCACAAGCUCUUCAAGGCGGGAGCCUCAGCCCAGUUUCUUCCAUGUCUCCAGCGUCCAGCACAGGGCCUGGAUUCUAGCUGGUUUCUGAUGAAUAAAAGAAUGGCUAUAGAGAUGUACUCUUCGAAACACAAGGGGCUUUUAUAGUGGCAACAUGUUCAAUAUCUCAGUACUGUAUUGGUUCUUUACAGCUUGCAGGACCCAAAGAAGGAAUGAUUUUUGUUUCCCGGGAAAGGUGUACCUCGUGGGGGCACUGCUUAAGGGAAGGUGCCCAUGGGCAUCAAGGGAGGCACAGGUUGAUCAAGGCCCCUGGAAUUGAAAUGGAGGUGUUCAUCCUGCGGAGGCUCCGAACAUCUGAGGCAGAGCCUCGAUUCUCCAGGAAAUUGACUUUGCCGGAGAACAAGGCUGGGGGAGGCAGGCUGUCCUAGGGGAGGAGUCGUAUUUCAGCCCCACUGAGACCCCAAAGGUGCACUCCCAUGCUUUACCCCGACUGUCCACCAGGGGGCAGGCAGAGGCAAGAGAAGAGGAAAGCGGGCGGCUGGUCAGGCCCAGCACAUCCAGCCUGGCAUCCCACACGCUGGGCUGCCUGACUCAGACAAAGCCAGGCCGCUCCUCCUGCCUGUUGUGGCCUCUGUGAUUUUAUAUGGUUUGGCCUGUGACAUCAGACACCACGCGACCAUGGUAACCAAAGUAUACAGCCUGGAGUGAAUGUUAAUAAACAGGAAAGAAACGA